rnacentral:rRNA from 1 species
CCUAGGUCGGAUUAGCUAGUUGGUGAGGUAAUGGCUCACCAAGGCGACGAUCCGUAACUGGUCUGAGAGGAUGAUCAGUCACACUGGAACUGAGACACGGUCCAGACUCCUACGGGAGGCAGCAGUGGGGAAUAUUGGACAAUGGGCGAAAGCCUGAUCCAGCCAUGCCGCGUGUGUGAAGAAGGUCUUCGGAUUGUAAAGUACUUUAAGUUGGGAGGAAGGGCAGUAACUUAAUACGUUGCUGUUUUGACGUUACCGACAGAAUAAGCACCGGCUAACUCUGUGCCAGCAGCCGCGGUAAUACAGAGGGUGCAAGCGUUAAUCGGAAUUACUGGGCGUAAAGCGCGCGUAGGUGGUUUGUUAAGUUGGAUGUGAAAUCCCCGGGCUCAACCUGGGAACUGCAUUCAAAACUGACAAGCUAGAGUAUGGUAGAGGGUGGUGGAAUUUCCUGUGUAGCGGUGAAAUGCGUAGAUAUAGGAAGGAACACCAGUGGCGAAGGCGACCACCUGGACUGAUACUGACACUGAGGUGCGAAAGCGUGGGGAGCAAACAGGAUUUGAUCCCGCGCUAGCUGACGCCGCAAGUGUGGUCCAGUAGC